ACUUAAAGUGGCUUAGAGGCUGUCGAGAAAUAGGUUUUGUCACUCGUAACGCCAAAAUGGGGUCAGGGGGUCAUGAAAAUUUACAUACAGGACCAGGUACUACAUGGAAAUUAUAAAAAGAUUAAAAAGCAAAAAAAAUUCAUUCUUUCCUUUAUUCAAUAAAUAAAAUAAAUAGAUGCACAUAAAUUAAAGGUCUAGGGACGAAAAUGUUUACACCCUCUGCUCCUAUUCCAAAAGCAAUACAUGAAAUCUUUCAAAGCGUUUUGUGUGCUGUGCCAAUAUGAAUGAAAUCUAGAUGGCAAUAGAAGACAUGUUUGUAUAUAAGUAUUAUUUAUGCCCCUUAACAUGAUGAAACUUCAUGGAAAAACUUGACAUGUUAAAGGAGACCUAAUGACCAUUUUGCCAUUAUUUGUCGACGGUCCCUGAUAUUUACCCUUUGUAAAUCUAUCAUUUUGUAUCAAAUUAUUAAUUAAAUUAUUAGAGAGACGAUGAAAUAUCGCGACUGAAAAAGGAAUUGCAGAUUUAUCGAUUGGAGCUUUUAAAUAGAGAGAAGAAUUUUAAUUUUGUUUUCACAAAGCAACAGCCAGUAAUUAUGGAGGAAUUGUGGCCUAGCUCACCCAUACGAUAUGACUUAACUGGUAAGAAGCUCAGAUGUCUAUCCUAUCCAACAUCACCACAACUUCCUUCGCUUCCAUCAACACCUGCUAUGCACAUGCUUCGAAGAUAAAGGUUUUGCAGUUCGAAUGUUUUUAUCGAUGAAAUCUGGAAGUGUAAAAAUAUAAAUCUAGGUAUGCCAUAACGCAUUAAUUGGAUCAAGUUGGAUAUUUUGAAACCGUGUUUCUCAUUAGUUAAAGCUAAAUGAUUUUGUUAUUGGGCCGAAAUUGAUGGCCUAAAUUCGAAGUUAUAGCUCUAGUAUAAAUUCAGCUUUCCUUUGCAUCUUGAAAUAUCCCUCCACAAGAACAGAAAAACGCAUUUCUCCGGUACACCGUAAUAAUCUUUGAAUAUAUUUAUUUGUUGUAAAUUUUGAAAUAUUUUCUGUUUUUGUCACCUAAUGUAAAUAUAUAGACCAGUAUAUGACAAUAAUUUCUGAGUGAAGCGGAGGUCAAUUUAACAGAACUUUUAUAUAUAAUACAUACAACAUGAAACAUGAAACCGAAGAUAUUGAACGUGCAAAAAUAAAAAUAAAAAACAGUGAAAAGUUGACAUUUGAUUAAAAAUAACAUGAGUAAAAUUUAAUCCAUCACAGUAUAUUAUGAGAGAUGUUCAUGGUACGAUUUAUGCCCUUAAUUUACGUAGCUAAACAAAGCAGGCUAGAUUGUAAUGUUAAAAAACAUAUUUUGGUUCUAAUAAGAAACGAUGCGGAUGACAGGCGGGUAUAAAAAGCGCUACGUUCUCUGCUCAUACCAGCAUAGAUAUACAAUAACAUAAAACUAAGAUCCAAGGAAACGAUAAUUGAUUUAGUUUAUGACUUAUUAUGAAUCUUGGGAAUGUUUUUAAAUUUUUAAAAUAUUUUUGUAUUUUUUUUACGAAUAUUUUGAACUACUUUUGUAAAUAUAAAUAACAUUGUGAAA